CCCAGAUCUGGGACCCUCUGGGGCCUACCUGGCAGGGGAGCUCGGGUAGCUUUGGAGGGUCACAGACACCAAACUGGACAGUGCGUCCACCCCCAUGGAGGA